rnacentral:rRNA from 1 species
UACGGAAGGUCCAGGCGUUAUCCGGAUUUAUUGGGUUUAAAGGGAGCGUAGGCCGCCCCUUAAGCGUGUUGUGAAAUGCUGCGGCUCAACCGUGGCACUGCAGCGCGAACUGGGGGGCUUGAGUGCACGCAACGCAGGCGGAAUUCGUGGUGUAGCGGUGAAAUGCUUAGAUAUCACGAAGAACUCCGAUUGCGAAGGCAGCUUGCGGGAGUGCGACUGACGCUGAAGCUCGAAGGUGCGGGUAUCGAACAGG